rnacentral:misc_RNA from 1 species
AACAUCGCGCACCUGCGGGAACCUGCGGAGGGAUCAUCAUCGAAUUCAUAUCCCCCUCCUCUCCCGGAGGGGGACCCAUGAUAAACCCUUCUGUGCACCGUAAACCGUUCACUUUGGCAGGCUUUGGUGGUGAGCGUGAGCUCGCCUCCAACCUCGCGUUUCCACCCUAAGGGGCGUUACGCGUGGCGGCCUGCCGGAGUCCUAUUAAAAAACUCGUUUUCGAACACGUCUGAAAAUUUC